UGUGGGAGGGGGCUUGCUCCCGAUAGCGGUGUGUCAGUCAUCAAUUGAUAGCUGAUCCGCCACUAUCGGGAGUAAGCCCCCUCCCACA
rnacentral:misc_RNA from 1 species